AUGGCCGCCAUGAAGGUCGUGCUGAAGCUGGACCUGCACGACGACAAGCAGAAGCAGAAGGCCAUCAAGGUCGUCUCCACUCUCCACGGCAUCGACCAGAUCGCCGUGGACACCAAGGACGACAAGAUGACGGUGGUCGGCACCGUCGACCCCGUCCACGUCGUCGGCAAGCUGCGCAGCAAGCUCUUCCGCACGGCACAGAUCGUCUCCGUCGGCCCGGCCAAGGACGAGAAGGACGGCGCCGCUAAGAAGGAACCCAUCACUGUGUACGCGCCGUGGUACCCGCCGCCGCCGUACCACUACCACCCGCACCCGUACUAUCACAACCACAGCGCCGAGGAGGAUCCCAGCUCCUGCGUCAUCUGCUGA
rnacentral:rRNA from 1 species